CCUACGGGAGGCAGCAGUGAGGAAUAUUGGUCAAUGGACGAGAGUCUGAACCAGCCAAGUAGCGUGAAGGAUGACUGCCCUAUGGGUUGUAAACUUCUUUUAUAAAGGAAUAAAACGAGGCACGUGUGCCUUUUUGCAUGUACUUUAUGAAUAAGGAUCGGCUAACUCCGUGCCAGCAGCCGCGGUAAUACGGAGGAUCCGAGCGUUAUCCGGAUUUAUUGGGUUUAAAGGGAGCGUAGGUGGGUUGUUAAGUCAGUUGUGAAAUUUUGCGGCUCAACCGUAAAAUUGCAAUUGAUACUGGCAGUCUUGAGUACACUUGAGGUAGGCGGAAUUCGUGGUGUAGCGGUGAAAUGCUUAGAUAUCAUGAAGAACUCCGAUUGCGAAGGCAGCUUACUAAACUGCCACUGACAUUGAUGCUCGAAAGUGUGGGUAUCAAACAGGAUUAGAUACCCGGGUAGUC
rnacentral:rRNA from 1 species